GACGAACGCUGGCGGCGUGCUUAACACAUGCAAGUCGAGCGGAAAGGCCCUUCGGGGUACUCGAGCGGCGAACGGGUGAGUAACACGUGAGUAAUCUGCCCCUAGCUCUGGGAUAGCUCCGGGAAACCGGGAUUAAUACCGGAUACGACCCCUUCGGACAUCUGAAGGGGUGGAAAGAUUUAUCGGCUAGGGAUGAGCUCGCGGCCUAUCAGCUUGUUGGUGGGGUAACGGCCCACCAAGGCGACGACGGGUAGCCGGCCUGAGAGGGCGACCGGCCACACUGGGACUGAGACACGGCCCAGACUCCUACGGGAGGCAGCAGUGGGGAAUAUUGCGCAAUGGGCGAAAGCCUGACGCAGCGACGCCGCGUGGGGGAUGAAGGCCUUCGGGUUGUAAACCCCUUUCAGCAGGGACGAAGCGAAAGUGACGGUACCUGCAGAAGAAGCGCCGGCUAACUACGUGCCAGCAGCCGCGGUAACACGUAGGGCGCAAGCGUUGUCCGGAGUUAUUGGGCGUAAAGAGCUCGUAGGCGGUCUGUUGCGUCCGCUGUGAAAACUCGGGGCUUAACCCCGAGCCUGCAGUGGAUACGGGCAGACUAGAGGUAGGUAGGGGAGAAUGGAAUUCCCGGUGUAGCGGUGAAAUGCGCAGAUAUCGGGAGGAACACCGGUGGCGAAGGCGGUU
rnacentral:rRNA from 1 species